rnacentral:lncRNA from 1 species
GGUGUGUGCUACGAUCGAACAGGAGAAAGGAAAAAGGGGGUGUGAACCCUAAACCUCAAGAAAUCAUCAAAUUGAAAAGGGAAUCAAGGGCUGAUUGUAUGCAUGAACCAAGGAUGAUGAUCCCUUAAGCAUUUCUAACAUCAAUAGGAGCCAUGUCAACAUGGACACGAGCAUGGAAGGGCAAUGGGUCAACGGUAAAUACGGAAGCUAUGCAUGAACUCGGACGCACGAGGUAGCGUUAGUUAAUUGAGCAUGGUGAUGAUUGAAGUUUGAUAUGGUUUUGGUUGUAUGAAAUCGGUAAUUUUAGCUAAGUAGACCGAACGGGACAAUAUAAAGUUGUAAUGAUAUGACAGAUUGAUGUAAUGCUACGGUAUUGUAACCGGGUAAUGGGUAGAAUUGCACAUAAGUGCGCCAACCGAGAAUGGGGACUUAGGUUAAUGGUCAAAAGACUUAGCUUUUGACCUUAAAUAAAAGAAUGGUUUAACAAAAUACGAACAGGUCGAAUAAAUGUGCAUAAACUUCAUAAUGCUAAUGAAAUGCGUAAAGAUUAAGGACCCGGGUAAGGGCGUUUAGCCCAUAGUGUAAGGACAAGUCUUACGGACAACUAGAAAUAAUUGUGAGCAAUUUGAUUGAGGAAUGUUUGAGAUACGCAAGUUUUAAUAAUAAAAAAUAUGAAUGGGUUGAAUAGUCGAAACGAGUAUGUAGAGCCGAAGGCUUUAAGUUAAGAUUUUUCCUUAUUUGAAUGUUAUAUUACAAGCUCAUAUGUUAGAAAAUCGAUUUACCAACGCAUAGGAAAAAGAAUCAUGUUAAUCGGAUUCGUAGAUCAAAAGUUAUGCAAAUUGUAAGUCGAAAAUACCCUUGGAAUUCAUAGCUGGGAAUUUACAGCAGCAAAUUGGAAGUUUCUGUCGAAAUAGAGCUGUCGCGCCCCGCGAGCGCCAGUCAGCUGGCAAAUUUUGGUUUUCUUGUUUGAUUUUGCAUCCGGACUCGAUGUUUUAAUGAUUUUCGAUGUCCCUUAACUUAUAUUAAAGCCGGUUUGAAUCACGAGUGAUGUUAUGAGCCUCCGGAUAAUGAAAGUAUGUAUUUUUCUUCGUGUUAGAGAAGAAAGAUUAUAAGUAAUCGAGACUAGAAAUGAGUGGGCAUGCAGUAUGGUAAGUAUAAAACUUAUAUCAUGGAAGUUGCGAUUAUGAUAAGAAAUGCGAGAUUAAGUGAAUAAAAGUAGUAAGCGAGGGCUCGCGUCUAUGUGUGUGUAUGUGAAUGUGUGCGUAUGUAUGUAGGUGUAUAUGUUGUAUGUAUGUAGGAAUUAGGAACGUAUACGUUUGUGGAUGCGAGAUGUUAUAAGUAUAUGAAGGAAUGGUUUGGACUGGUUUCAUUAUGUUCUAGUACUAAUGUUUGCUAAUCGUGUGUUUGAGAUUGGAAUGAAAUGCAGGUACAUGAACACCGGGUUCAUGAAGUAUCGAAGUCGAAUUCGGAACAAGAAAAUACGAAAGGAUAGUUGAAUGAAUUAAAGUUCCUACUGUUAAAUUUUAUUCAAUAUUGGACUAUAUGAGAAUCAUGUCGUAUGAUAUUGUUAUUGACUAAUGGUUAUGAUGUAUGCGAUGUCCACAGGUAUUGCACGGAUUACCGCUACUACUACCGAAGAUAAGCAAGCGUUGAUCGAGUCACGGAGCAAGGGUUGUACGGAAAUAUGUAUUGUCUUGAAGCGUUAAUUUAAUGUGGUUAUUGUAAAUCCCUUUUGUAAAUGUUUAUCAUUUGUAUUUGAGCCUUCAAGUAAGUAAUGUGUCUAAAUAAGAAAGAAAUUUUUUGG